GGGCCCGCACAAGCAGCGGAGCAUGUGGUUUAAUUCGAAGCAACGCGAAGAACCUUACCUAGACUUGACAUCCCCUGAAUUACCUGUAAUAAGGGAAGCCCUUCGGGGCAGGGAGACAGGUGGUGCAUGGUUGUCGUCAGCUCGUGUCGUGAGAUGUUAGGUUAAGUCCUGCAACGAGCGCAACCCUUAUCAUUAGUUGCUACCAUUAAGUUGAGCACUCUAGUGAGACUGCCCGGGUUAACCGGGAGGAAGGUGGGGAUGACGUCAAAUCAUCAUGCCCCUUAUGUCUAGGGCUACACACGUGCUACAAUGGUGAGUACAGAAAGAUGCAAGACCGUGAGGUGGAGCAAAACUUUUAAAACUCAUCUCAGUUCGGAUUGUAGGCUGAAACUCGCCUACAUGAAGCUGGAGUUGCUAGUAAUCGCGAAUCAGCAUGUCGCGGUGAAUACGUUCCCGGGCCUUGUACACACCGCCCGUCACACCAUGAGAGCUGGCAACACCCGAAGUCCGUGAGGUAACCGUAAGGAGCCAGCGGCCGAAGGUGGGGUUAGUAAUUGGGGUGAAGUCGUAACAAGGUAGCCGUAGGAGAACCUGCGGCU
rnacentral:rRNA from 1 species